UACGGAGGGAGCUAGCGUUGUUCGGAAUUACUGGGCGUAAAGCGCGCGUAGGCGGCUUUGUAAGUUAGAGGUGAAAGCCCGGAGCUCAACUCCGGAACUGCCUUUAAAACUGCAUCGCUUGAAUCCAGGAGAGGUGAGUGGAAUUCCGAGUGUAGAGGUGAAAUUCGUAGAUAUUCGGAAGAACACCAGUGGCGAAGGCGGCGAUCUGGGUAGAUACUGACGCUGAGGUGCGAAAGCGUGGGGAGCAAACAGG
rnacentral:rRNA from 1 species